AUGAACGCUGGCGGCGUGCCUAAUACAUGCAAGUCGCGCGAACGGACGAGAAGCUUGCUUUUCUGAUGUUAGCGGCGGACGGGUGAGUAACACGUGGAUAACCUACCUAUAAGACUGGGAUAACUUCGGGAAACCGGAGCUAAUACCGGAUAAUAUUUUGAACCGCAUGGUUCCAAAGUGAAAGACGGUCUUGCUGUCACUUAUAGAUGGAUCCGCGCUGCAUUAGCUAGUUGGUAAGGUAACGGCUUACCAAGGCAACGAUGCAUAGCCGACCUGAGAGGGUGAUCGGCCACACUGGAACUGAGACACGGUCCAGACUCCUACGGGAGGCAGCAGUAGGGAAUCUUCCGCAAUGGGCGAAAGCCUGACGGAGCAACGCCGCGUGAGUGAUGAAGGUCUUCGGAUCGUAAAACUCUGUUAUUAGGGAAGAACAUAUGUGUAAGUAACUGUGCACAUCUUGACGGUACCUAAUCAGAAAGCCACGGCUAACUACGUG
rnacentral:rRNA from 1 species